AUAGAUACCAAUCACAUAGGAUGCGUUAUGUGUAGAAGAGUAAAAUCCAAAUCACAUUGACGUUGCCCCCAAUGACCUAAACCUUUCCUUUUCUCCGUUUGAUUGCUUCUCUGCCACCGACGAACGGUCCUUUUGUUCCUCCUCCACACAAAAAAUCAAAAGCUAAAAUCGUUUGGAAAUCAAAAACAUUAAAAACCAAAACCCAAAAAAAAAAAACAUAUGAGAGAAAGAAAGGCCUGAGAUUCAUAGACCUGUCUGCAUCUCUCCUUCUUCCUUCACUUCAGCUGAUCACAAUGUUCACAUUGAAAGAGAAGGUUACAGAGAGGCUCUCACGUCUCUUUGCUGAUUCACCCGACUCAUCAUCCUCUUCUUCUCUUCCUCCCUCACUGGACCAUCAUCAUCCUGAGGCCAGGCCUGAUUCUAAAGGGGGUAAAUCAAUGUCUUCAUAUUUUUCCUACGUUAUCCCGUCAGUUGGCUUUGGUGGAUCCAGAUCAGGCAAGCAUCAACGAUCACUCUCUGUUAGUAAUGUAGACUUUGAAUCCCAAGAUGAUUCCCUACAUAGAUAUGUAGAAUGUCGUUCAACAGGUGUGAAUAAGGAAACAGAAAAUAAUCGAGAAAGUGAUUACGACCAUGUUUCCGGUGGGAGCACCAGUGGUUCUGAGGUUUUCGAAGAAGCAACUGACCAGCAUAGUCCACAGAAGCAUCUACCUUAUCUCAUGGAUGACUCUGUAUUUAUCUCCUCAGACCUGCAUGAAUUCUUGAUGUCAUCUCUUCCUAAUAUAGUGAAAGGGUGCCAAUGGGUUUUGCUGUAUAGUACGUCGAAACAUGGUAUAUCACUCCGUACUCUUAUCCGCAAGAGUUCUGACCUUUCCGGUCCUUGUUUGCUGAUUGUUGGAGAUAGGCAAGGUGCUGUGUUUGGUGGACUUCUAGAGGGGCCCUUGAAACCUACGGCAAAAAGAAAAUAUCAAGGAACAAACCAGACAUUUGUCUUUACGACCAUAUAUGGUGAACCAAGGCUAUUUAGACCAACUGGUAAGCAUUUUGUCCUAUGUCUUUGCGAGGCAUGUUUCCUUUUGGAGGAUUUGGCAUUCAAAUUAUGGGUUUGCAUAAUAUGUAUGAUAUUAGGUUGUGGAGCUAAAGAUAGAGAUGUAAAUGAUACCUCAGUCUCUGACGGAAGGUUACAAGUUACUCCGCCGCAUUAACAUGUCAAUUUUUCCUUCGUAUGGAUUGGCUGGUUCUUGUUUCAAAAAUGCUUCAUGAUAGAAGAUGAAAUGAGCCAACAGGUAUUACUACAUGUGUUUGAAUGACAUGCUAGCUCUUGGGGGUGGUGGUAACUAUGCUUUAUGCUUGGAUGGAGAUCUGUUAAGUGGAACAAGCGGACCAUGUGAAACAUUUGGGAACUUAUGCUUGGCUCAUAACUCAGAGUUUGAGUUGAAGAAUGUUGAGCUUUGGGGUUUUACACAUGCGUCGCGGUACCUUACUUGAUACAAGCCCAAGACGAUGAUAUACAUUUGUAUCUGCGUAUCAUGUUGGUGAUUACAUUCUUUUUUCUUCUACUUCUAGUUUGCUCCAUCAUUCAGCAUAGGAGGGCUUUGAUUAACAUGGGAUGAACAAUACUUUUGGAAAGCUAUUAGAUUUGAAGCUGUAGCUCGUGGGAUUAUUUUGCUAUGCAACAAGUACUGUCUUAAAAAUCUAAUUUUCCUUAACUUUGUAGUUUUUUUAUGCUCAUAAGUUAUGUAGUUGUAUUGUAUGCAUA